rnacentral:tRNA from 1 species
UAAGAUAAAAUAAUUAAGCUUCUAACUUAAAUAUAUAUAUAUUAAAUCUAAUCAUAUAUUAUCUUU